CCCUGGUGUAAACAUGGAGUAAUUCCAUGACUUCAUAGGAGUUACUCCUGUCUUCCAACUGUGUAAAUGGGAACUAGGCCCUAUAUGUCUAUAGAAACAGAGACUGAACAGUAAAAAUAAAUAUGACCCAAUGAAUAGAGAGACACUGAUGUGGUGUAAAUAGUGCCACAUUUAAACAAAAGCUAAAACUACUCAUUGCAAAGGUUAUCUUUUCCCUUUGUUAAGGCUGUUGUGGGAAUGGGCUGAGGUGGGUGUAUUUUGGGGCAUUCCUUUAUUGAUGUAUAUGUGACUUUAGUUUAUGGUGUAGGUGCCCAGAUCACUGGAUAUGAGCCUGUACAGUAUUUUUGAAAUGGAAUAAAUUUUAAAAAGACAUUUUAUUUUCUCUGAAAUGGAAGAAAUGGAUGAGGGAUUGCAUAUUCUCUGCACUCUGUCAUUUAACUCUGAAACUUCCUUUGAGGCUGCCAGACAGGCUACUAUGGCUCAGAUUGUCAAGCCACUUGCCAUCCCUGCACCAAUGGUUUUCCUUGCAGCGGUGUUACUGGACACUGUGUAGGCACUGCCAGAGUUACUUGCAGCUUACAGUCUCAGGAUCCACGGUGCUCUCCUAGCGAAGGUACAGAAAGCAACAGUUUGGACGUUCAUAUCCUUGUAUUUAUUGAGGUCCUGUUGGCUCUUUUAUUUCCAAAGUCGGUUACCAUAACAAUUUGUGGUGGUCAGUUUCCAGGCAGUUGUGCCCCCAGGGGCCUCGAUGGCAUUAUUUUCGAAAGGCGUGUUACUAUGUGGAAGAUACUAAAACUAAAACGUGGACUGAGGCCAGGAGUGCGUGUCAGGGCUUUAAGGAGACAGACCUUGCUAAAAUUACAAACAGUGCAGAAAAGGCUUGGAUUCAGUUUAAAGGGGAGAACAGCUGGAUAGGUUUGACCUAUAAGAAAGAAGACUUCAGAUAUAUGUGGGUCGAUGGCACAUCUGCUCAGGCUGAAAGUGCAUGGGUCGCGAAACGUAACAGGAGGCAUACACUCACUAAAGAAGACUGUGUGGUUGCCUUCAAGCAAUACCUUUCCCCAGCAGAUUGUUCUUCUCUGAGAAAGUGGAUAUGCAAAAGAGAAGGAGACGUCAACCUCUUCACAACGCACAAGGGGAGAGCUUUGUACUCCCCUUACGUACCAACAUCAAAUAUAUAUAACACCUUAAAGAAAGCUACAGAUACCUGCUCAGUGCUCCAGACAUGCACUGGGAUAGUGGCAAUGGGGGAGCACUACAUUCUACAAAGUGGGAUGGAACUGUAUAACAGCAGGAACAGUAGUGUGAAAUCCUUUAUCAAGUCAGAUUGCAUCUCUGGAAGAUUUGGGCUUCUGUGCGAAUUUAAAUGUCCACCAUGCCAGCAGGGUAUGGCCUGCAAUCCAUACACAGGGCUGUGUGGGGACACUGUGUUUUGCAGUAAGGAGAAUAGUCCUAUCCCCUGUGGAAAAGGGUCCAUAUUUGGUGGCUCGUGCCCAGUUGAAGAUGGGUGGCAGUACUGGCAAGGCAGCUGUUACUAUAUCCACACAGCAAAGAGACAAAGCUGGCUACGUGCAAGAGACCUAUGCAGGCGUUACAGAGACGCAGAUCUUCUGUGGCUGACAAGUCCUUUGGAAAAGGAAUGGCUGGUAUCUAAACUUCCCAAAGCAUCAUUCUGGACUGGCCUUUAUGGGUUUAGAUUCUGUGCAGUCUUGCAGUGGUCGAACAGUCAAUUCCCAUUUGCAGCCUCAAGAUGGUUGUCUGUAAGCAAGUGGGCCAUAGGUGCUAAGUGCUGUGUGCAGCUUAAUGCUCCCGAAGGCUCUUUGACAGCUUUCAGCUGCUUUCGGAAAGCCCUGUGGAUUUGCAAGAGAAAAGAAGAAGGAAUUGUGGAUUUCCGGGAGUUCCGAGGCUAUUACCUGGCUGGCACUUACACUUCAAAUUCCACACAGUGGUCGUUAUGGGAAGCCCUACAGCUCUGUAGAUUUCAACGAAGCAUUUGCAAUGGAGUUGGGAUGAUCAAAGGGGAGUACAGAACUAUAUUUGCAACCCGAAUUCUACUCAUCGUUGGAGCCCUUGGAGAUGAAAGCACCGCAUAUUUGAAAUCACCUUGUCUCCCAGGGCACUAUGGUCCUGAAUGCCAGGGCAGUUGCACCUGCAAUAGAAUUGAAAACUGCAGCCCCUUCACUGGAGAAUGUGCAGAGAAUUUACAGUGUUCUCAGGAAUACGUGGCACAGCAGUGCCAAAAAGGAGUGAUCAAUAUGAAAUGCCCAGAGGACCCUGGUUGGUGGUACUGGAAUGGCAGCUGUUAUUAUAUGGAAGAAACUAAUAGUUUGACCUGGCUGGAAGCUAAGAAUUAUUGCACUGCCUAUAAUGGCACUGACCUACUAUUGCUAGAUAGUGCAGAAGAAAAGGCCUGGAUAACCUCAGUGUUAUGGAAACCUGUUUGGAUUUUCUCGUUGGGUGCCUUGCAAAGCGAUGUGGAGAAAUCAAGCAGGAAGAAUCAGCGUGUCAUGUGACAGCAUGUUUUGGAAAUAUUCCAGAAGGCUGCUUACUAAGCCUUUAGGGGGAGAUACAUAUUCAUCCUUGGAGUUUGCUCUGUCAGCCUGUAUUUUAAAAGCAGAUUGCUCUGGAGUCACCUACUGGGGAAAGCGUUACAUACCAGUCACUGGUAAAGAACUGAUCUUCAGCAAAAACAGACAGGAUGCAGUGUACUUGAG
ensembl:lncRNA